CAGUUUGAUUCUGACUGAAAAAUUAACUAUUACCAACCAACAUACAUGUAAAAUAUUUGAGCCCGCGACUAACCACCUCUAAAUGAUUUAAUAACUGUAUAAAGAAAUUCUCAAUACAGUAGAGCGCCACAGUAGAUAACACUUUUCAAUUUGAGAAAUAAAGAAAAGAGUAUGGUAUAAGGGCUGGCAAAAUUCGUGCCAGCUGCCGCGGUUAGACGAUAAGCCCAAGUUAAUAUAAUAUAAACUAAUUAAAGAUAAAUUAAAUAACAAUAGAAGUCUAAUUUCAAAAUCCUCGACUCACAUUUAUCAAGAAACAAGAAAAUCAUGAACUAAAACAUGGAUUAGAUACCCAUUUAUUCAUGACAUAUAGUAACAGUUGAAUAUUACGAACAAUAGUUUAAAAUUCAAAGAUUUUGGCGGUGUCUUAUAAAACCAGGGGAACCUGUCUCAUAACUCGAUAAUCCACGUAUACUCAACCUUCUCUAGAUCUCAGUAUGUGUACUGCCGUUGUAAGCAUACCUUUAAAAGUGAGUAUGCUACCAUGAUUUAAUACCACAUACAUCAGGUCAAAGUGCAGCUAAUAAGAAGGAGAUGAUGGGUUACAACCCUAAACAAGAUAAUCAACUAAGAAAUAAAAAAUCUUACGAAAGUGGACUUGGCUGUAAUUAAUUUAUAAGUUAAAGAAAUGAAUUCAACUCUAAGACAUGUACACAUCGCCCGUCACUCUAUCCUAAAGGUUAGAUAAGUCGUAACAAAGUAGGUGUAAUGGAAAUUGCACCUGU
rnacentral:ncRNA from 1 species